rnacentral:lncRNA from 1 species
AUUCCCGGCCUUACUUAAGCUGCCACAAGCCAUGGCGUAGGUCUCAGAUGGGGCUUGGAUCUGAUGUUGCUGUGGCGUAGGAUUUGACCCCUAGCCUGAGAACUUCCAUAUGCCACAGGUGCAGCCCUAAAAAAAAAAAAAAAACGAACAAAAAAUAGUUUAGCCUGACCAGCCACCAUAAUAAUUGUGAGAAAUUAUAUAUUUUUUUGAAAAACUCCUUGAGCCUUCCCGACCCCCCCCCAUAAUUUUUAGAUUUGUCAUCAAUUCAUAUAAGAUGAUAGAAUUUCUGUGAUGAAGCAUUUGUGAUUUUCUCCUUCUUUUAUUUGAUCUCAUGUUGAUUACUGUCUUCCUUAUGCAGGCCCCACCCCUGCUGCCCAGUCAGAUCCACUUUUCACUGAAGGAAGAGGAUGUUGGGAGCCCUGGCAGGGGAAGCGGAGGGCAGAGGUUAAGGGCAGAAUUUUUUUUUUGAUCACCGCAGAAAUUGGAGAUAGGAACCUGAACUGUUGAGAGGGAGGUGAUAUGGUCUCCAAGAAGGCAAUUAAGUAGACACGGAGUGUGGGAAUUAGGGAUCAGGACUGUGCAGUGAACAGGUUGAGUGGUCUCAGACAAGUUACAUUGAACCCUAGUGCCUCAUUUUCCUUGUAUCAAGCAGAGGCAGUGUUAGAAUUAAUUAAUUUUGCAGGGCGCUUUGAGAUCCACCAGUGAGAGAGUAGAGCCUUGUGUGUGGGGUUUUGUGUUGCUUUUAUUCUUGUUUCUAGAAAAAGGAAAGUGUCCUUUUUUUCUUAUACCUAACCCCCACACCUCACAAUAAGAAAGUCAAAAUAACCUGUUGGCUUUACCAGCUACGUCUUCUUGUGCAUUGCAUUCAAACCUGCACCCUGGCCUUAUUUCUGAGCACAAAUACUAUGUGUUUCUGUCGUUAUUCUCUGUGGGCCUGAGUUUCCAGUGAUCUCAUUCUAACCUUACUGUUAUUUCUGAAUAUUAUGCAGGGCUGAUAAUGUUACUGUCUUGGUGUUUGUGUUUCUUAGGUGGCUUGUUUUUAUGAUGUUCUUCAUGCCUGAUCAUAAUGCCUCUUGCAGCAAUUCCCCUAAAGUUCUUAAAGAGUCCCCCAGAUUUGACCCUUGAACACAGAGUCUCUUGCUUCUGAGACUGAUCACCAAUGUGGCCUCACUCUGUUUCACAGUUUGUUUCCAUCUUUUUGGCAGAACAAAAAUGUCCAAGUUCUAUAUGUUUGCUUAUAAAUACACGACUCAGCUGUGUUCCCAUCCUUUGUGUCAACAGGAAAAUUCCCUUGUUCUAUGUUUAGCUUGAAUAAUUACCAAACUGUUUGUGAUUAGAAUGUGAGGAUGUGACCUCACAGCAAUUUUUUCAUUUCCUUUCUCUGUAUUUAAUACAUUUCAGAAACUGAAAAUACCAAAUCUGUUCUCUCUCUCUUUUUUUUUGAUGCUUAUCAGUAAUGGAAACAUUGCAAAACAAUCAGCCCAAUACCUAUGCUUUGUUCAUUUAUUGCCUUCUCUGAAGAUAAAUUGACUGUACUCAACUCUCUUCAGCAUUUUUCUUCACCUAGAUAUUAUUGCCUUGUGCAGCCACCCCAAGGUGACUGUUAUCACUUAAUUAAAUCCUUGCACGCUGGGAAGAAAAAACAGCAUUGUUCCUUCAUAACCCCAAGGAGCCUAUUUUUAAGCCACUAAGCCUUUUCCCUGUUUUAUUAACUUAUUCCUGGCUACAACAAGACAUACUUUUGUUGAUGAGCAAAAGGUUGUAUUAGCUUUUUAUUUUCUGGGUAAACUUAUCUAUUCUCUGGGAAGGAGAAAAAAAAAAAAA